GGCACUUUGGUAGAGUGGUUAAUACGUAAGACUGCUAUAUACAACUUACCGAAAUCGGAAACAUCCGGUCUCACGGCAAGGUAGCUGAUAUCUUAUCCCUUCGGGGGCCCGAGUUCGAAUCUCGGAGGUGUCG